rnacentral:lncRNA from 10 species
CCAUUCCCCUGGCAGUGAUAGCAGUGUCCAAGGAGAUUGGGGAGGGAGUAUUCUAGAAGGGACCCUUACCCCAUCUUUCCCAGUAUCAAUAGUUGGUCCACUGAGGUUUUAAACCAUGCACUUGCCUUUGACUUUCUGCUCUCCUUCAUCCACUGCCUAGUUUUUGUGUCUUGUUUCCCCUGAUCACUGCUCCUGCCUUCUCAAUUUAUGCUGAGACAGUUGGGUCCCCAGCUCUUUUCCUUGCUGCUUAUCUCUCCAGCUCUCCACCGUGGCUGAGGCUACUCUGAUCCUCAUACUCCCUCAGUGCUGCUCCCACCCGCUGGGAGAGCCCAUACUCUUUCCCCUCCGCACUGAAGAUGCUCGCGAUAGUGCCUCUACUCUGUGGCCACAGAUGAGAAAAUUUGCACUCAAGGGGCUAUGCUGGAAUUUGGACCCAGAGCCUGCACCCCUUGCACCUCACAAGGCUUCAAGGACCAGUGUUCUGCUGGUCUCCAUGAAUGAGGAAACAUCCUGGCAAGGGAGGCUCCUGCUCACUGUCAGAGAAGCACCUUGUCCGCUCAUCUCCACCCUGUAGUUCAUGUCUCUCCCUCUGCUAGCAACAUUCUCGUCUGCCAGGCUCUUCACCCACUGAAAUCUUUCCAUUCUUUCAAGUCCCAGUUCAAGCUUCCCCAUCAGCAAGUUUUCUGAAUAACCCAACCAGAACUGAUCUGUCUGUGAUUCCCAUAGACAGGUCGUUCUCUCAGCUCUUUAGUACUCACCACUCCCUCCCUGCCCUGUACCUAAUCAUGCAUAUACCACACUUUUUGCUGCACUUAUACUCCAGAUUCCCACACAUUUUUGUAUCCCCUUACACCUAACAGCACGCUUUGUAACUAGACAGUGCCCAGAGCUUAUUGGAGCACCUGUGGUAGAUGUUUCUUUGUCCUCUCCAGGGUGAUUUUCUCACAUUCACCUGCAAAGACAAGGAUGGGGGACCUCAGAGCCUCAGGGUGAAUUAAGAGUGUGGACUUUGGAGCCGACUUGGCUGCACUGGAGACCCAGCUCCGGCAUUCACAAGUUUUUGUUUAUUGUUAAGAUUUGACUAAUAACCCCUCCCC